rnacentral:sRNA from 1 species
UGACUAUCUUAAUUAUAUUAAGAUUUAGCCAUACGGACAGCUGGUCAAAAUGCCGC